rnacentral:rRNA from 1 species
AUUGAACGCUGGCGGCAUGCCUUACACAUGCAAGUCGAACGGUAACAGGUCUUCGGAUGCUGACGAGUGGCGAACGGGUGAGUAAUACAUCGGAACGUGCCCGAUCGUGGGGGAUAACGGAGCGAAAGCUUUGCUAAUACCGCAUACGAUCUACGGAUGAAGGCAGGGGACCGCAAGGCCUUGCGCGGACGGAGCGGCCGAUGGCAGAUUAGGUAGUUGGUGGGAUAAAAGCUUACCAAGCCGACGAUCUGUAGCUGGUCUGAGAGGACGACCAGCCACACUGGGACUGAGACACGGCCCAGACUCCUACGGGAGGCAGCAGUGGGGAAUUUUGGACAAUGGGCGAAAGCCUGAUCCAGCCAUGCCGCGUGCAGGAUGAAGGCCUUCGGGUUGUAAACUGCUUUUGUUCGGAACGAAAAGACUCUUUCUAAUAAAGAGGGUCCAUGACGGUACCGUAAGAAUAAGCACCGGCUAACUACGUG